UAUAUGUUGGUGAUGGAAUACUAUUGUGCUAAAAGGAAUAAUAAAGUGGAGGAGUUCCAUGGAGACUGGAACAACCUCCAGGAAGUGAUGCAGAGCUAGAGGAGCAGAACCAGGAGAACAUUGUACACAGAGACUAAUACACUGUGGUAUAAUCGAACGUAAUGGACUUCUCCAUUAGUGGUGGUGUAAUGUCCCUGAACAAUCUGCAGGGAUCUAGGAGAAAAAACACUAUUCAUAAGCAGAGGACAAACUGUGGGAGUGGAAACACGGAGGAAAAGCAACUGCCCAACUACAGCGGUUGAGGGGACACGACAGAGGAGAGACUCUAAAUGAACAGUCUAAUGCAAAUGCUAACAACCUGACAAUGGGUUAGAAUCAAGAACACGUGAUACCCAGUGGAAUCACGUGUCAGCUAUGGGGGGUGGGGGGGGAGGAAAAGAAAAUGAUCUUUGUCUUUAAUGAAUAAUGCUUGGAAAUUAUCAAAUAAAAUAUUAUUUUAAAAAAAACAAAUAAAAAAAAGAGAGUAUAUACAGGAUGACACUAAGGUUGAGGGCUAGAAUGAUUAGGAAGAUGGUAGUGCCCUUUACAAAAACAGCUGUUAGAAAGGCAAGAAGGUUUGAAGUGGGACAGAAAAUGAAUUCUAUUUUGAGCUCAAGAUGCCUAGGGGGCAUCCAGUUUGAGAGGUCCAAAAAAACAAUUGUCAGUGUUCCACUAUAGCUCAGGAAAGAGACUAGGGACCAACCUAGAGAUUUAGGAGUCAUCUGCAGAGAGAUUCUAACUGUAGUAAGAAUGGGAGCUGAAGAGGUAACCAAAUAAGAGCAUAUUGAAGAACCAGGGAAGAGGCAAUCAGAUGUAUCUUUUCACAGGGAGCACAUCUGUGGCUGUCUUUACUUAAGGAGGGAUGGCACCUAGCCCUAAGUGGGCUAGAAGUAUUCUUAGCACCUCAUUUCUGCAGAUUCAGCAAAUAAAAUUCACUUCAUUAUCUUUUCUUUUCUUCCUCACUCCCUCCUUUCCUUCCCUUUCUUCCUUCCCUUCCUUCCUUUCUUUUUCUCUCUUCCUUCCUUCCUUCCUUCCUUCCUUCCUUCCUUCCUUCCUUCCUUCCUUUCUUUCUUUCUUUCUUUCCUUCCUUCCUUCCUUUCUUUCUUUCUUUCUUUCUUUCUUUCUUUCUUUCUUUCUUUCUUUCUUUCUUUCUUUCUUUCUUUCUUUCUUUCUUUCUUUCUUUCUUUCUUUCUUUCUUUCUUUCUUUCUUUCUUUCUUUCUUUCUUUCUUUCUCUUUCUCCUUUCCUCCUUUCUCUCCUCCUCUCCUCUUUUCUUCUCCCUCUCUCUCCCUCCUUCCCCCUUCCCUCCUUCCUUCCUUCCUUCCCUUCUUUAUUCCUUCCUUCCCUUCCUUUUCCUUCCUUCCCUUCCUUUUCCUUCCUUCCUUCUUUCCUUCCUUCCUUCCUUCCUUUCUUUUUCUUUCUCUCCUUUUCUCCCUCUCUCCCUCUCUCCCUCUCUCUUUCUUUCUUUCUUUCUUUCUUUCUUUCUUUCUUUCUUUCUUUCUUUCUUUCUUUCUUUCUUUCUUUCUUUCUUUCUUUCUUUCUUUCUUUCUUUCUUUCUUUCUUUCUUUCUUUCUUUCUUUCUUUCUUUCUUUCUUUCUUUCUUUCUUUCUUCUGUCUUAGAAUUGAUACUAAGUAUUGAUUCCAAGGCAGAAGAGCUAGGCAAUUGGAGAAAA
ensembl:lncRNA